CGGAGCCGCCCCCCCGGGCCCGAGCGGCGGCCGCGGGAAGCGGGGCGGGAGCGGCGGCCCCGAAAAGGAGCUCGGGCGGCCCUCUCGCCCCACGGCUCCCGGGCUGGCGGCCGUAGCCAGCUCAGCUCUGCUGUGAUGCCACAUCCAAUACCUGCAAGCCAAACACAAACUAGCCACUUCAUUUAUUGCCAAUGAACUGAUUUGUUUGAGCUGAGAAGGGUCAACAGAUAAAGGAAAUCUGUGUGUUUAUGGGGAAAAGACAGUGCAGAUGCCAAGAAAAUAUGGCUGGGAGGCAACUGGAAAGCCAAGGGACAGUGAGUGACUGGCAGCAGUCAAAGGCCACCUCUGGGCCCCUUUGGGUGGGGCAUGGUUGCACCUGAGCUCUUCCGGCUCCUGUUUGUCCAGCGAGUGCAGCAGCUGCCCGGCACAUUCCCGGCUUCUCCGGAGCUUUGUUUCCUGACCAACACCCAUUUGCAGUAUUUCCCAAACAAGCGGAGGCUCAUCACCAUCGCUCCCACUCCCUCUUCCCCUUCCAAUUGUCCCUGCGGGCUGGGGAGCAGCCGAGUUCAAACAAUCCGUGCUCGGGCAUCGGCCGGGCAGGACGUGAAGCAUUAACGAGUUUAAUAGCAGCAAACAGAUAAAAGGUUUCAAAGGGCAUCAUUAAAAAAUAUCCCUGUGGCACAGGUCUGUGAUACCCCAGGGCUUCAACAUGAGGUGCAGAAACCUGUGACUGCCGCCUUCUGAAAUCCUUCCCAAUUGUUUAAAAAAUUAUAAAAAUCCACAUUUAAUUUCAUUUUCGUUUAGUUUAGUUUAAGAAACAGGGUUCUCCCUGCCUAUGGUGUGCUCACACAGCCAUUGUUCAACUCCACAUGGUUCAAUGCUGGAACAAAAUAAAAUAUUAAAUUAAAUUAAAAUAAGAAAA